UGGAUCAGUGAUGACCACUGAUGGCGUAUGGGUCGUGUCCAC
rnacentral:snoRNA from 1 species